AACGAACGCUGGCGGCAGGCCUAAUACAUGCAAGUCGAACGCCUGUAGCAAUACAGGAGUCGCGCACGGGUGAAUAACACGUGGGAAUAUGCCUUUUGGUACGGGACAACGUCUGGGAACGGACGCUAAUACCGUAUGGUCCCUUCGGGGUAAAGAUUUAACGCCAAAAGAUUAGCCCGCGUCUGAUUAGCUAGUUGGUGAGGUAACGGCUCACCAAGGCGACGAUCAGUAGCUGGUCUGAGAGAACGAUCAACCACACUGGGACUGAGACACGGCCCAGACUCCUACGGGAGGCAGCAGUAGGGAAUAUUGGACAAUGGGCGCAAGCCUGAUCCAGCCAUGCCGCGUGAGUGAUGAAGGCCUUCGGGUUGUAAAGCUCUUUAGUCCGCGAAUAAAAUGACUGUAGCGGAAGAAUAAGCCCCGGCUAACUUCGUGCCAGCCGCCGCGGUAA
rnacentral:rRNA from 1 species